UACGUAGGGGGCUAGCGUUAUCCGGAAUUACUGGGCGUAAAGGGUGCGUAGGUGGUUUCUUAAGUCAGAGGUGAAAGGCUACGGCUCAACCGUAGUAAGCCUUUGAAACUGGGGAACUUGAGUGCAGGAGAGGAGAGCGGAAUUCCUAGUGUAGCGGUGAAAUGCGUAGAUAUUAGGAGGAACACCAGUUGCGAAGGCGGCUCUCUGGACUGUAACUGACACUGAGGCACGAAAGCGUGGGGAGCAAACAGG
rnacentral:rRNA from 1 species